rnacentral:rRNA from 1 species
AGUGAACGCUGGCGGUAGGCCUAACACAUGCAAGUCGAACGGCAGCACAGUAAGAGCUUGCUCUUACGGGUGGCGAGUGGCGGACGGGUGCUGAAUACAUCGGAAUCUACUUUUUCGUGGGGGAUAACGUGGGGACACAUACGCUAAUACCGCAUACGACCUACGGGUGAAAGCAUGGGAUCUUCGGACCUUGCGCGAUUGAAUGAGCCGAUGUCGGAUUAGCUAGUUGGCGGGGUAAAGGCCCACCAAGGCGACGAUCCGUAGCUGGUCUGAGAGGAUGAUCAGCCACACUGGAACUGAGACACGGUCCAGACUCCUACGGGAGGCAGCAGUGGGGAAUAUUGGACAAUGGGCGCAAGCCUGAUCCAGCCAUACCGCGUGUGUGAAGAAGGCCUUCGGGUUGUAAAGCCCUUUUGGUGGGAAAGAAAAGCAGCAGGUUAAUACCCCGCUGUUUUGACGGUACCAAAAGAAUAAGCACCGGCUAACUUCGUG